UACGUAGGGGGCAAGCGUUGUCCGGAAUCAUUGGGCGUAAAGAGCGUGUAGGCGGCCCGGUAAGUCCGCUGUAAAAGUCAACGGCUCAACCCUCGGAUGCCGGUGGAUACUGCAGGGCUAGAGUCCGGAAGAGGCGAGUGGAAUUCCUGGUGUAGCGGUGAAAUGCGCAGAUAUCAGGAGGAACACCGAUGGCGAAGGCAGCUCGCUGGGACGGUACUGACGCUGAGGCGCGAAAGCGUGGGGAGCAAACAGG
rnacentral:rRNA from 1 species